CAGCAACCCCGCAAUCAACACCAGCACUUGAAAAUACCAGGUCUCCAAGCACAACAUCACUGCUGAUGCAGCUGACAACUUAAAGAAACCCCAGAGACCAAAGAAUGCCUGCACGCUAAAACCAGCCCAUGUUUUCCUACACUUCUUGCUCAUUACAAUGUAUAGAAACUGGGCAAUCACAAUUAACCACCAAGAUAAACUCAGGAUGAAGGCUGCACCUAACAAGCCCCAGUUCCACUUGAAAACUGCUAGCCAGGUAAAUAAGAUGUGCACCCCAAGUGCAACGAGUGAUAUGUAUGCACUGGGGGCGAUUAUGCUUUGUGAUUGCAAAAAUUUUUGUAUGGGAAAGUUAGCGGCAUACGCGAAAAUUUGAGGGAUGAGUCCAUAGACGAAAACUGCAGCUGCAGCUGCUAUUUCGUUUGGUUCACCCAGUAAGACCAAGAUGGGUUUGGAAAAGACAUAGAUCAGCGUGAGAGGGAUCCCAGUUGCCAUGAGGAGAAGUGUCGAUCUUUGGAGAUAUAUGCCUAGCAUUUCGUGUUUGUGCGCCCCAAAUGCUUGCCCACAAAGGGUUUCCACUGCACUUCCCAUGCCUAGCAUAAGGCCAUAAGCAAAUACUUGAAUACCAGUAUUGCCAAGGGACACAGCAGCAAGCUGAAGAGUACCAAGAUGACCACAGAAGAUCUGGGUUGACAUAGAAACCACAUUAUUCAACAAGUAAACGAUCACUGCUGGAGCUGCAAGUUGAAACAGCAACUUAAGCUCAACCCAGGACGCUGAUCUGAGCCUCUUAAAGGUUGAUGUGCGAGUAUCAUUUAGUAUGUCUUCUAGCUCAGAGGUGACUGCCUCAUGCCCAGACCUGAAGCUCUGGAGCAGAGGUUGAGAGUGAGAGAGCAUCAUCUUGGCAGAGUUGCAAUGCUUUCUCUCUGUCUAUUAGCUUUCUCUCUGUCUAUUACCCUAAUACA
rnacentral:misc_RNA from 1 species